CCAGGCACCGCACAGGCCCACCAUGGGCGUGGUCACACACAGGACCCUGAAAGCGAGCAACUGCACACGCGUAUAGGCCGCCACGCUGGCGCCGGCCUACAUGCAUACACCCCCGAACACCGGGUCCCUCACAUCUCCUCUACCACCGAGCGGCGCACCGCCAUCGACUUCUUCACGUACAGCUGCACUGCUUCUGACUUCGAUCGCCCGUGCUCUUUGAUGGCCUCCAAGCUGGCUACGGCGUUGGCCACCGUGGUCACGCUUCCUCACCGCAAUCUGUGUGCCGAGAGGGAGAUGCAGCUGACCGUGAGGCCAGGCACCGCCAGCUGCAGCUCCUUGAUCGACUGGUGCAGCCAGUGGGUGAAGCCAGCCCUCUCCCAGGCCACCUGGCGCGCCCCACGCACCUCAUGCACGAAAGCAGCGCUUCUGAACGCUC
rnacentral:lncRNA from 1 species